GCCCUCCAGAUCUCAUCUCGGCGCCGCUCGCCUCCUCCCUAGGCAGGCGCUGCCUCGUGCGCCAUUCGUGGCGACGCGCCGCCGCCCUCUGACCGGCGGCCGCCUCCUCCCCAUGCCCGCCUGCGUUGAUCGUCCUAGGCGCUUCUCCUUGUGCCGGGCAGAUGGCGGCGGUGGCGGAGGCACCGAGCGAGCGUAACUGGUGACGCGGCUAUCUAGGGCGUCGAGCCCUCCCUGCCCAGUACGGCAGUACGCCAAGAACAAGGCUAGCAAAUAUAUUCUUUUCCAUCCGCCGCCCCAUCCCGUUGAAUUUGUCACCCUGUUCAUCUCAUGGGGUGCCUACCUCCUCCAUCUGAUUAAUUUGACUUUGAAAUGUACACGAUGCACCUCUCAGGCAUUCUCUCUAGUACUUGCAAGUUGGCUUUAUUAUUGGUGGCUUUGCUGAUGCUUCCACAAAGCUAGCACAGAGCGCUGCCAGAGGAAAACAUGAUCUGCUCUCCGUUGUUUUGCUGGGCCAUAAGCUGCCUCAAAUGUACAACUUGCAAUAGAGGGCGGCUCCGAUUGGAACCCUGUUGCAGCACUUGAUGUGGAAGAAGCGUCAGAAUCUGAGACUGCUUGCUUCGUUACUUGAAGGAUGAUACAAGCACACUGAGAAUUCGCAAGUUAGCAAAGAAGGCAACUACUAAAGUUAGGCAGCCUGCUUGUUGUUACUCAUAUAGUACGGAGGAAAUAUCUUCCUAAAUAGAAUUUUCCUGAUCAGAAUACGUCUUACAUUUCUAAACGAAGAGAGUAUGGACCAAAUCUCAAAGACUGGAAAUAAUAAUGAUUAAUAAACGAGUGGUUUGUUGCCUU